AGGCCCCGUCUGGCCCCCAGGAGAGUGACCAGUGGGCACCUCCCAGAAUGACUUCACUGGAGCCCAAACAUGGGAGCCAGCGCAGGGUCAGACCCCCUAACUUCGCCUCCACAACCUCAUUAUCCAGAGAUCCAGGUGACACUGGACAAGGCUGAGCCCCUAAAUCACACCCAAUGGCUUUAUCUGACCCUCUCAACAGACCCAGUACUUUCAGCCAGUGACUGUUAUUUUUUAGGGUCAACCACCAACUCAGUUUUCCCAUUCUGAUUCAUCAAACACAGGGGGAGGCCUGCGGCUGAAGCAAAUGGUACAUGUCAAAGAGUGGUCCCCGGACCAGCAGGAUCAGCAUCAUUAGAAACACAGGUUCUCAGGGUCCAUCCUACAUCUGCUGAAUCAGAAGCUCUGGGAAAGGGGUCCGCAGUCUUCUGUUUCAACAGACCCUCCAGGUGAUGCUGGUGCACACUCAGAGUUGAGAACAGCACUGCAGGAUCUAUCUAUCUGUCCUCAGCUGGGCCCUUUCUUCAACUCAUUCACGGCAGGAUAAAGGCCACUUAAGUAGUACGUGCAAAGAGAGACUUUAACCUCAAGAAAUGUUUGACCAUCCUAGAAAAAUGAUGCCUGGAGCAAGAGGCGGAGAGAAAGGAAUGGGAAAAGAGCUCUCCUGCAUGGCUUCCUUGUCUUCCCAGCACCCACCUUCAUUCUCAUGUCCCUGGCAUAUUUCUCCAGCUCCUUCCUUAUGUCAGCCCUCAGCAUCUUUGAGACGUUGAGGACCAGCUGCUUCCACUCAAUGGGCUGGAAGCUAUGAGGCUCAUGGGGGACGUACAGUCCAAUCUUGACCUUCUUGACUGUGUGUAGGUAUUUCUUGUAGGAGUCCUCAAAGUCAAAGAUGAGGUCACUCAGAGUCCGAAAAGUCAAUGGCUUGUCCAUCAGCUCAGCCCUGCGGCUCAUACCCAGUGAGCCAUAGCGGCCAUUGCAGUAAAUCCCCAGUACAACGUGGUGAAAGUAGUUUCCUGAGAAGUAGGUUUUAAAGCUGAUGGGGAACCGCUCGAUGGAAGGCUGUCCAUUGGUUAAGUAGCUUAGACAAUCCGAGUCAAGGAAGAGAAAGGAGGCCUUGAAAAUUCGGAGCCUGGAUGUACAGGAAGGGAAAGUGUCUCACAGGGGUCAGUGAGUCCAUCCCCCUGCCUCUGCGCAGGCCCACAUCUAACUUUUCCAGACUAAUCCUUUUAUAAAGCAUUCGCUUGUUGUCUUUGACUAUCUACUAUAUGUUGUAUAUCCAAACCAAGUUAAUAUGAGACAAAAAGAAAAACUUG